rnacentral:rRNA from 1 species
UACAGAGGGUGCGAGCGUUGUUCGGAAUUAUUGGGCGUAAAGCGCAUGUAGGCGGGAUGUUAAGUCGCGUGUGAAAGCCCCAGGCUCAACCUGGGAAGUGCGCGCGAAACUGGCAACCUUGAGUGCUGGAGAGGGUGGCGGAAUUCCCGGUGUAGAGGUGAAAUUCGUAGAUAUCGGGAGGAACACCAGAGGCGAAGGCGGCCACCUGGACAGACACUGACGCUGAGACGCGAAAGCGUGGGGAGCAAACAGG